rnacentral:misc_RNA from 1 species
GAUGAAGAACGUAGUGAAAUGCGAUAAGUAAUGUGAAUUGCAGAAUUCAGUGAAUCAUCGAAUCUUUGAACGCACCUUGCACCCUUUGGCAUUCCGAAGGGUAUGCUCGUUUGAGUGUCAUUGUACUCUCACUCUCCCGAUACUUUUGGAUCGGGAGUGGUGGACUUGGGUGCUUCUGCUUAACUGUGGCUCGCCUUAAAUGAAGUAGUGCAACUCUCGGUUGGACAUAGUACGGCGGGAUAAGUGUCUUCGCCGGCGCCUCAUUCGAGGGUGGCCGAUCGGGAGCUCUGUGCUUCAAACUGUCUUCGGACAACAUCUGACAACUUGACCUCAAAUCGAGUAGGACUACCCGCUGAACUUAAGCAUAUCAAUAAGCGGAGGA